rnacentral:rRNA from 1 species
UGAGUACAAGAUGCUACGGCAUUGAAGCAGUCUAUGUCAUACUUCCAAGAAAAGCUUGCAAUGUCAUAAACAAAUAAUGCCUGUACCAUAACCGACACAGGUGGGUAGGUAGAGUAUACUAAGGGGCGCGAGAUAACUCUCUCUAAGGAACUCGGCAAAAUGACUCCGUAACUUCGGGAGAAGGAGUACCUUAUUUUAUAAGGUUGCAAUAACAAGGUCCAAGCAACUGUUUACCAAAAACACAGGUCUCCGCUAAGUCGUAAGACGAUGUAUGGGGGCUGACGCCUGCCCAGUGCCAGAAGGUUAAAGAAGUUGGUUAGCAUUAGCGAAGCUGAUAACUGAAGCCCUGGUGAACGGCGGCCGUAACUAUAACGGUCCUAAGGUAGCGAAAUUCCUUGUCGGGUAAGUUCCGACCCGCACGAAAGGCGUAAUGAUUUGGAUACUGUCUCGGAGAGGGGCUCGGUGAAAUAGACUUGUCUGUGAAGAUGCGGACUACCUGCACCUGGACAGAAAGACCCUAUGAAGCUUUACUGUAACUUGAGAUUGAAAUUGGACUUUAUUUGCGCAGUAUAGGUGGGAGACCUCGAAAGUAUUCUUGCGGGAAUAUUGGAGUCAUCAGUGAGAUACCACUCUUAUAAUGUUAGAUUUCUAACUUUGUAUCAUUAUCUGGUCAAAGAACAGUUUCAGGCGGGCAGUUUGACUGGGGCGGUCGCCUCCCAAAUGGUAACGGAGGCGCACAAAGGUUUCCUCUAAACGUGUAGAAAUCGUAUCUAGAGUGUAAAGGCAUAAGGAAGCUUGACUGUGAGACCUACAAGUCGAGCAGGGACGAAAGUCGGUCUUAGUGAUCUGACGGUGCUGAGUGGAAAGGCCGUCACUCAACGGAUAAAAGUUACUCUAAGGAUAACAGGCUGAUCUCCCCCAAGAGUUCACAUCGACGGGGAGGUUUGGCACCUCGAUGUCGGCUCAUCGCAUCCUGGGGCGGUAGUACGUCCCAAGGGUUGGGCUGUUCGCCCAUGAAAGCGGUACGCGAGCUGGGUUCAGAACGUCGUGAGACAGUUCGGUCCAUAUCCGGUGUAGGCGUUAGAAUAUUGAGAGGAGCCUUCUUUAGUACGAGAGGACCGAGAAGGACAUACCUCUGGUGUACCAGUUAUCGUGCCAACGGUAAACGCUGGGUAGCUAUGUAUGGAGAGGAUAACCGCUGAAAGCAUCUAAGUGGGAAGCCCACCUCAAGAUAAG